rnacentral:rRNA from 1 species
GACGAACGCUGGCGGCGUGCUUAACACAUGCAAGUCGAACGGAAAGGCCCUGCUUUUUUGGGGUGCUCGAGUGGCGAACGAGUGAGUAACACGUGCGUAACCUACCCUUGACUUUGGGAUAACUUCCGGAAACUGGGGCUAAUACCGGAUAGGAGCUCCUACUGCUUGGUGGGGGUUGGUAUGUUUCUGCGGUUGGGUAUUGACUGGGGGGUUAUCAGCUUUUUGGUGGAGUAGUGGCUUACCAAGGGUUUGCCAGGUAGCCGGCAUGUGAGGGUGACCGGCGACAUGGGGACUGAGAUACGGCCCAGACUCCUACGGGAGGCAGCAGUGGGGAAUAUGGCACAAUGGGCGGAAGCGUGAGGAAGAAAAGCCGCGUGCGGGAUGACGGCCUGUGGGUGGAAAACCGCUUUCGACUGAGAAGAAGCGUGAGUGACGGUAAUGGGUAAAGAAGCACCGGCUAACUACGUG